CAAAGAAUAGUUUAAUUUAGAAUUCUGGCUUUGGGGGCCAGAGGUAGGAGUUAGAUUCUGUUGUUUGG
rnacentral:tRNA from 1 species